UGGGGAAUAUUGCGCAACGGGGGGAACCCUGACGCAGCCAUGCCGCGUGAAUGAAGAAGGCCUUAGGGUUGUAAAGUUCUUUCGGUAUUGAGGAAGGUUGAUGUGUUAAUAGCACAUCAAAUUGACGUUAAAUACAGAAGAAGCACCGGCUAACUCCGUGCCAGCAGCCGCGGUAAUACGGAGGGUGCGAGCGUUAAUCGGAAUAACUGGGCGUAAAGGGCACGCAGGCGGUUAUUUAAGUGAGGUGUGAAAGCCCCGGGCUUAACCUGGGAAUUGCAUUUCAGACUGGGUAACUAGAGUACUUUAGGGAGGGGUAGAAUUCCACGUGUAGCGGUGAAAUGCGUAGAGAUGUGGAGGAAUACCGAAGGCGAAGGCAGCCCCUUGGGAAUGUACUGACGCUCAUGUGCGAAAGCGUGGGGAGCAAACAGGAUUAGAUACCCUGGUAGUCCACGCUGUAAACGCUGUCGAUUUGGGGGUUGGGGUUUAACUCUGGCGCCCGUAGCUAACGUGAUAAAUCGACCGCCUGGGGAGUACGGCCGCAAGGUUA
rnacentral:rRNA from 1 species